UUGCGCCUGCGGCGGGCCCGGCACGGAUCGCGGAACAACGGCUUCGCAGGCAGUCUGUCCGUGUACGGCCUUGUAAAUUACCGUAAUUAACGGUAAUUUAAAUUCUUC
rnacentral:sRNA from 1 species